rnacentral:tRNA from 1 species
GGAGGACUAAGCCGAGAGAUUACUGGUUACCGGCAACUGUCUUGAAAACAGCCGAUCCUUGAAAGGGUGUGUGGGUUCGAAUCCCACGUCCUCCG